UACAGAGGUCCCAAGCGUUGUUCGGAUUCACUGGGCGUAAAGGGUGCGUAGGUGGUGGAGUAAGUCGGGUGUGAAAGCUCGGGGCUCAACCCCGAAAUGGCAUCGGAUACUGGUUCGCUGGAGGACUGGAGGGGAGACUGGAAUUCUCGGUGUAGCAGUGAAAUGCGUAGAUAUCGAGAGGAACACCAGUGGCGAAGGCGAGUCUCUGGACAAUUCCUGACACUGAGGCACGAAAGCCAGGGGAGCAAAC
rnacentral:rRNA from 1 species